UGAGCGAGCCCAGCAUGGUCGAGAUACAUAGCCUAGUAUGGCCGAGCGCCUAUGAGCGAGCCUACUAUGGCAGAGCAGUUAUAUAUACCGAGCCUUAUAAGGCCGUACAAUUAUUUUACUUACUAUAUUGAAGGAGUUGAGUCAGUAUCAGCAGGUAAGUAUAUCUCCAGAUCAUCUUUGACUCCCAGUUAAUUUCAGUUAUCAUAUUAUCAGUUCAGUUUCAGAUUUCAGUUAUUUUAUUGCCUUACAUACUAGGUACAUUAUUUCGUACUGACGUCCCUUUUUUGGGGGCGCUGCAUUUCAUGCGUGCAGGUUCAGACAGACAGACGGGUAGACCUCCUCAGUAGGUGUUUUCCGAGUUCCGCCUGAUCGGUAAGCUCCACGUCUUUCGGAGUUGCCAGGACUAGAGUUUUGUGUACAUCUUAUGUAUAUCUGUAUAUAUGUUAUGGGUAGGUCGGGGCCCUGUUCCGAUCACAGUACAUCUAUCAGUAGAGGCUUGUAGGCAUAUCCUGUUGGUUAGUGCAGUAUGUUGGGUUUGUAUAAAUUGGUGGUUUGUCAGCUGUAGUAGCUAUGACGGCCUUGUCG
rnacentral:lncRNA from 1 species